rnacentral:lncRNA from 1 species
CAUAAUUUACCUUAUUGAUUAGACAUUCAUCAUCGUUGAUGAAUCGGUGAGGUAUUUAUGUGCCAAGGACGAAUCUGUUGGUUCGGUUCGAAGUGAGUGUUGUGAUCAUGAAAUGACGCCACACUAAGAAGUUUUGUUCCGUAAGCUUCGUCGCCGGUGUAGGAAGAACCAGCGGUGACACCACGGUUUGCAGCGAAGACGGAGAAGGUGAAGGUGACGAUGUUGGAGAAGAAGGAGAGGUUCCAAGAACGGUUGAAGUUAUGAUACCAUGUAAGAAAGAUCAAACCAGAGAGAAGGAGAGAGAGAGAGAAAGUAAGAGAGAAAUUGAAUUUGUUAUUAAUCAAAAACUGAAUCAGUUACAAAGGGAAAUGUGAGGUAUUUAUAUUAGAAGACUUGACAGCUCAGCACAGUGAGCACAGCACAGUCUUAACCUCACCUUUAAUUAAGUACAACAGAAUAUUAACCUAGACAUCUAACCAUACUCUAAUACCACUAAGUGGAAGCCUCGUGCACUGGGCCGCCCCUAUAAAUAUAUACAUGGUUUGGGCUGGCUUGCAAAAGGCUAAUCUGAAGCAUAGUAGACCUGAAGUAGCCCCACCCAAAAUGACCCACCCUGUUUUGACACCUUUAUCAGCACCAGGAGGAAGGAGCAGGAAGUUGCAUGAAGGGAGAGGAGGAAGAAGGAAGGCCAGAAGGAGUGGGCCUAAAUCAGUUGGUAGAGGAGCCAGAAUAGUAGAAUGUUAUUCUAGAUGAAAUGUGCAAUCAUGUCUGUGGAAGAAUGGAUGAAAAUUUCGCUAAAUAAGAGCAAUUUCUGUGCCUAACUGAAGAAUGGUCUAAAAGAAUGAGAAAACUGCCAUAUGACUUGGUUCACAAUCCAAUUUGUAUACGGAAGCAGUAUCUCUAAGCCAGACUUUGUAGCGUAACUGCUGGAUUGAGGGGAAUGGGACUAGCGAGAGGUGGUUACUGGUUUCCAACAAUUUAUUGGUGCUGAACAACCAGAGAAGUUGUGCAAAAUGAUAUAUAUUCCAAGUUUCAGCAAAGGGUGCACAUGAUAUUUUAAUUCUGUUCAUCCCAAAUUCACCAGCCCUAAAAAUUCAAUAUUACCUUAGUUCAGAAUUUUGUUUUCAGUAAUGUUUGGAGCUUCAUAAUAAUUGACGGAUCAGUCAUUUUUGAGCUUUGAUUGGUCUUCUGGGAUAGGUCUUAAUAUGGUUUUAUUCUCUAGUGUUGUCCUACAUAGGGAGUUUAUAGCGCGUCAUUUGUUAUGACAAUUCCUGGGUAGUCAGAUCUUUAUGAAUUUUGCUUGCUUAGCUCUUUUAAUGUCUCUGCAAGAAAAUAAGACUUCUGUCUGCACUCUGCACAUUGCAAUAUCCCAUGGCCAUACCCACUGUUAAACCAUUCAUGGCAACAACAAGGCUUGGACUUGUAACAACCUUGCCUAAGUGGCAAGGAGGGAGUAAGAAGGAAAAGAUGAGUAGCAAAGAUAAAAGGAAGCGAUAGGCAUUAGAGGUCAUCUUGAAAUUAAAUGAAGGUUUUGGGUUCCUUUAGGCAGGGAUGAGCAGACCCUCAAAGAUCUGCAGGUGUCUCUAUCUUCACUAUCUGUUUCUGUGUAUUCAAAAGGGAUUUCCCCUCCAAUAACUUUGUGAGGAGCUAGGUAGCCUUUUCAUUUCUCAGCAACACAACUUUCUUUCGAAAUUCUUGCUUGCAUAUGUGCCGUAAGUGUAGUUCUUCAUGUUUAGCACAGAAAAGUAAUUAGUAGAGUUGAUCAUUACAUAUCUAUGUAAAAUCUUCUGAAGGAUCACCUAGUUCUUAAUUUAUUCCCAUUUUUUAAUGUGGGUACAUUUCAUGCAGGUUAGUUUUGUCAAUUGUGAUUAAAUGAUAUGCAAACAAAUUCUUGUUCCCAGUCCAUGCAAUUUUUGCAGUUGUUACUUGAUUGCAGGAUGCACAGAAUAGAGUGGCAGCAUAUGCUUUGUUCCAACUGUUUCCUGAUAUUCCAGUUCAUUUCCCAAUUUCAGAGCCUUAUGCUUUGCUUGUUAAAAAGUGGAUGGAAGGUCACCUUUAUAAAUAGCUUUUUGUCAUUGAUCUAAAUCCUUUUGCCCUUUAUCUAUGCAAUUUUGUUCUGAAGAUAUGACAUUUCGAAACUUGCAGGGGAAUCAUUAACCAAGUUAGAUGACAGUGAGGAAGAUCAUAGGUCUGGUUUUGUGGAUUCAUUACUAAACGGUGAUGGUUCUGGUGUGACCGCAUCUGUUGAAUUUUCAGAUUAUAGGCUUCCACAUAACUUUGGUGGACACUCUGAAAAGAAACAUUCAACCCUUGCCAAUCAUCAGCCAUUUCCUUCGAGUAAGUUUAUCCACAUUUUUCUCGAAUCAGCCUGUUCUUAUGCAAGAAAUAUUUUUCUGUCUAGGGUGAAAAUUGAAAUCUCUCUACUUACAUUCAAUGCUUAUCUUCAAUUACUUUGUCUUCACUGAUUUGUAAUUGCUUUUCACUCUUUUCUAUUGUUUCUUGAGAAAUAUUUGUGGAUAUUUUAAAUUGCAUACCCAUAAAUUUGGUGGAUAUUUUUCCCUAUUUUUCUCAAUAAUGUUAAUUUGGUGGUAAAUUGUGUGGGCUCUGUUAUUUAACUCUAUAUACAAAGGAAGUCACGUCUAUGAAUAUUUGUCUGUGUUAAAGAAUAUUACAAAGGAAAAUGAUUACAAUAUGAAGAACAGUUUCUAGUUGCUACUUUAUCCUAUUCCCCCAUGAAUUUUAAUAUGGUAUUUAAGUUGUAUAUGACUGCUGUACGAAUCGGCUACAGUACUCACUUCCCAGAUGUGAAGGGUCAUAGUUCAGGGAGUGCUACUUAAGUGUUCUGUUGAUGGGUAAUAAAUUCACUUAUUGUCUGCUAUGUCUGGUUUUCAUGGAUUAGAAUUUCAUUAUGCAGGAGAAACCUAUAGCAAGGAAAUGGAGAGUACUUGUUUGAGGCAAGUACAAAAUAAUAAAAUGAGAACACAAAGAUACCAGGUUCACAUACACUUUUCUGAUAUCUAUUAUGAUUCAUUUUCAAUUUUUGAACUAGAUUUGCACUCUAUAUUUAGUAGGGUCAUUUUCUUUUCCGCCCCUGAAAAAAUUGGUUUUAGCCCCUGUAACUUAGUUUAUUUUGAUGUUCAUCCCUGCCAUUAGCUAAAACCAAUUAAGUCUUGACAUGGAAUUCUACGAAGAUGACAUAUAAAAGGACCAUUAUGUAUGGGGAUUAAACAUAUUUAAUCCCAUAUUAUAUAAUUUCAUAAUUAUUAUUGUUAUAAACAGAAAACUUUGUCUUUACAAUGAGUCUUUUAGGGUCUGUUUGUAAUUUGGUUUUUGCAGGGUAGGGGAAGACUUGGAAACCAUGAAAUACAGUUGGGAGAGAAUUCUCGAGCCUUGAAUUUCUCUCAUGCUCUCCAAAAACCAACUCACAAACAACCCCUUAAUUGCAAAUAAUUAUUUAUUAGGGUGGAAUUGUUUUAUAUUUCAUUUUUUAUUUUUGUAUUGGCUAGAUAUAUAAAUCUAAUCUUUAUAUGCAAUGGUUGUAUCUACAUUACCUCAUGCUGAAAUCUAACUUAAAUAUAAAGAAUGAGAUGGCGACUAUUGAACCCCUUUGCCAUAGGAACUCCUGAUUACUUGGUCAUAAAUGCUUAAGCUGCUGUUGGAUGGCCAAGAGUGGUUUUAUCAAUGACAAACUAAACUGUUAGGUGGAGGCACACAAUUUUUUGUCUCUAAUAAGUUUGUAUCUCUAACAUACCCACACGAAAUCACUUUGGGUUUGAAGUGCGGAAUGCAUAGGUGAGUUUUCCUUGUAAUGAAAUUGAACUUAUCAUAAAGAAUGGGAGUGGCAAUAUUGAACUUGUUAAAACUUCAUUAUAGAGGCUUUGGUGCAAUGUUCACCCACCAAAACUCCCAAAGAUUAAGCUAUUAGGCGGAAGUUUAAGCAAUUAGGAUCUUUGAAAUUCAUUCUUUUCAUCUCAAUAGUUGUGUUAUUAAAAAAUGUGUUAUAUCUUCAAUACUUGGGGUGUAAUUUGAGUACAUCACUAUCAUUGAAGAAUUUCCCAAAAUUUUCGGUGCUAUUGACUAACUGUUCUUUAUUGGGAAAAACAAAGAUCUUUAUAAAUACUGACUUCAACAUACAUUUUCUGCUUCAGGAUAUGUUGAAAAUUAGAGCUAGACUUCCUAUUGCUGCACUGAAGGGUAAUAUAUUGCAAUUGCUGAAGGAAUAUGAUGCUCUUGUUGUUUGUGGGGAAACGGGCUCUGGAAAGACAACUCAGGUGACAAUGUAGCUAUAGUUUGUAAUGGGUCUUGUGUCCUGUAUUUUAUAAACUUUCUGUUAUUGUCAUUUGCAUUCUUCUUGUCGAGUGUCUUCAGCUCCUCUUCUUACUGGCAUAUAAUGUAGGUUCCACAAUUUAUAUUGGAUGACAUGAUUGAAUCAGGAUGUGGUGGACACUGUAAUAUUGUAUGCACACAACCAAGGCGAAUAGCGGUGGGUACAAAAUCUUUUGAUUGCAUAUUUGUUCGAUUUAAAUAUUUAUUACAUGUUUCAACUAUAUUUUAGUUUAAUCCUUUCUAUUGUGCAUUUUGAAUAAGCCAGCUGUUUGCUUAUCACUGUUUUUGUUCCUUGCCUGCCAGUAUGGUAGGACAAACUUUUCGGUGUCAUUUUUUUAUUUUUGAUAAAAAUGAAAUUUUAUUAGAUAACAAGAGAUGAUAAGCUAUCUUCACAAACAUAACAAAGAGAAAAAGCUUAAAUCUAAAUAAUAGAACCAUGCCACAAAGCGUGUCAAUUCCUUUGGAUGUCUAACAAAGAAACACCUUUUCUAACCCAUUGGCUGAGCACCAAAAGGAUGCCAAUAGAGUAACUCUAUCCCAAACAAAGUCUCGGGUCGAAAAGAGGCAUUAAACAAUCUAUUGUUCUUUCCCAUCACAUACACCAAAGCAUAAAAAAAAUCAAAGCUUUGCCAUAUAAUCUUUGCUUCUUUGUGAGAGCCCAAACCUUUUAAGUUAGUAAGGGGAAAAUGAUGGAUGUCCCUAUCUAUAUAUAAGGAGAUAAAGCGGUAAGAGGUCUGCUAUUCUGGAGCAUGUGGUUAUUGUUAAUCCUGUUAAGAAUAACAAUGUAGGCUGGGAGCUCUAAAUUUGGGUUCUAAAAGUUUUCAAAUCAAAGCCUUUCUCUUUGGGCUUCUUGACCUUCAAAGGCACUUUCUUCCUUAGAAAUUUAGGAUACAUAUGCAGGGGAACACAUUAGCUGUCCCACACUUUGUACCAUUUCAUGUACCAUGAGCUUAUGAUUAGUCUGAAAAAUAUUUAAUAAUUAAAUUUUAACUUAAAUAUAUGUUUUCUGACCAAUCACAUGCCCAUGGGACAUCGAAUGGUACAAAGUGUGAGACAGCAGAUGUGUACCCCAUAUGCAGGCAUGCAGCCCAUAAUUUGGACCGUGGAAAGGCACCUUUAGGUUUUAAUCAUAUAAAAAACUUUGGUGAGAGCUCUAAUUUUUUGGCUUCAGCUAAACCUUGCCCCUCUUUCUAUCUUCCCUUGCUCUUCUCAGAGCCUCUUUGAUGCUAGUAAUGCAAAUUAGGGCAAUUCUAUUGACACCCUUAAUAAACAUAAAAUCUUCUCUAGGGCUGAGUGCCCCUCUGACACAAGUUUCAGAUGCUAUUUAUAUUGGGAAAAUCAGUAGGCAUUAAUUUAAAAAAAAUGUAUGAGCCCAAUAAGGAUAAACAAAAAAAUUAUCCAAUUCUAAGAUGGAAAAAUAUAUUUCAAGACAAAAUGAAAUCCCUAAAUAACAAAGUAAUCCCAAAUUAAAAACUUAGCUUUAAAAUUAAAAUCCUUAAAGCUAAUAAUAAAUCAUUAGCCCAUUCUGCGUCAGUCUACCUAGUUAACUUGUCUAUCAUACAAGUUUAUGAAAAGGGAAUUGACAAACAUUUGCAUAUGCAAUGAUUAGUAAAAAAAUCUUGAGGGGGUCUUAGAAAGGUAAUUUCCAACCCAACUAUAUUCAUAAAAUUUAAUACAAGAGUCAUCACCCAACUUAUAGGACAAACAAAAGAUAGAUAAAACAAAAUAACCUCCUUGAAAUAAAUGUCCAAGGACUAGCAUGAGUACCUCCUUUAUCUUCCUCACAUUUUAAUACGUACCAUACUUCAAAUGACUUGAUGCCAUAAAGAAGACGAUUCUGUAGGAAAUGACCAAAUUACCAAUGUUUAACCCAUUCCUUUGGUUUAUAACAAAUCUCCCAACUAACCAGGUAGUCUCUCCUAAAAUAUCCCACCCGACCAAAGGAAAUCCCCCAUAACUGUAUUUUUUGAGCCAGACCCACCACUAGCUGUACGAGAAGGGGAGAAAUAUGUGAAAGGAUACUAGCCAAAGAAAGUCGGAUAAGACUGAUUGAGCCCCCAAAAAGAAAAAGCUCCAUUUCAACACUCUAAUUGUUUAGAAAUGUUUCAAACCAUUAUGUCCAAAGAGGACAAAGCCCUAUGAUUACCUUCCACAGGAAUGCCACGAUAAAUGAUAGGACACUGAAGAAUUUGGCAGCCCACUAUAGCAGCAAAAACACUCAAUAACUAGCUAUCUACAUUCUUAGCUGCCAAACUGGUUUUAACAAGUUAAUCUUAAGACUAGAAAUGAUCUCAUAAUUUCAAAAUAGACAAAAUAAUGCCAAAUUUUCCAAGAGGAACAUUGAGACAAUGAACUGAAAUCCAUUGUGGACCAAUUAUUAACCCCUUAACCAAUCAUUAUUAAUAGUUCUAGACACUAAAAGUUAUGCACAUCAACCACAACAGCAAAAGGAAAUAGAUGAUCUCCUUGCCUUGGUUCCUCAGAAUCUUAAACCGAGGUUUUGGUUCACUAUUCACUAUGGCUACAAAAGGUGCAGGAUUAUAAGCACCCUGUACAACAGAAUAUUAACCUAGACAUCUAACCAUACUCUAAUACCACUAAGUGGAAGCCUCGUGCACUGGGCCGCCCCUAUAAAUAUAUACAUGGUUUGGGCUGGCUUGCAAAAGGCUAAUCUGAAGCAUAGUAGACCUGAAGUAGCCCCACCCAAAAUGACC